rnacentral:lncRNA from 1 species
AAACUCAUUCUUUCUUUCUUUCUUCUUCAAGAAACGAAUGAAACAAAACGCACACACAUUGUGGAUUGCAACAGAUCCAUUCUUUCUUCUUCAAGAAUCGAAUGAAACAAACACCUCUGUGUUGGAUGUUCGGUGGUUCGCUCAAUCAUCACAAACAACAUUCAAUCUCUUCUGUUUGCUACGGUAAUUUAUUCAACUUUCUUUGUUGAUUCAGAUACCCAUUUUCUCAUUCUUUAUGAUUAACAAAACAUUC